rnacentral:lncRNA from 1 species
CAGAGCAUCUCUCUCUCUUUCCCUCUCCCCCACCCCACAUCUCCCCCCUCCAUCUGUGUAUAUAACAGUAUCUCCAUGCUUUCACACACACCACUCAGUUCAGCGUUGCAGAUGGGAUGGACACAGAGUGCAGGAGCAAACCACCAAAUAGUAAAUCAGUGUGACUGAGACACAUAAUACCACUCCUUCCCAGUGGCAGUGUCUAUGCAAAAUGGGUUGUGGCAAUUCCUCAGUCGCCAGCACCUCAGGAGGGGGACCUGCAGAAACCUCCAAAGAUUUAUGAGUCCUCACCAGACGAUGAGAAAAGAAGGAACUAUGGCGGGGUGUACGUAGGUCUACCAUCUGACAUGACCACCGUUGCAGGCAGCCAGUCCAAGUCCACAGACAAAAUACAGCCUCCAAUCGCUGUCCUUCGAUUAACCAUGGCUUUACAGUAAAAGAGACAACAUCAAGCAAAAAAGGAAAUACUGUACAUGAAAGUCCCUUGAAGACUACAUCUUUCUACCGAUGGACAGUUUUUGUUCUCCGUGUUCAAAGAAAACCCCCACGUCAUCUUCAAACAAAAACUAACAGAUAUAGAAGGGAAACAUUGACAUGCAUCACAGGACUAAAGCUACAAUAUUCAGAACAUACAGAGACAUUACAUUCCUACGUUGAGAGGAGGAUUACUGACUCAUCCUCACAACCCUGCCUCCGUAAGAGUGAAACAGACUGAAAGACCCUGGGGAAUCAGGCAGAUAUGAGGUCAGCCUGCUUGGGUCCUGAGGAAACUGCCUCAGAAUGGCACCGAGUAGACCCUCAAUAGAUGCCUUUGUCUGAGGAGUCUUUGCCCUUUCUGACCCUCACAGGAAGCCGGGCAGCAGCAGAGAAGUCGGGUGGGUACGGGACGACUGCGGAUAUUGGGACCAACAUUAUGGAAUCCGGGGAAAUGAUCUGGACUAGCUCCUUGUGUUUAGGAAGAGAUGUGACACACACAGCCCAGUCACACAGAGACACCUUCUCGACCGGCUCUGUAAACAUUUAAUCCAAGUGCAUAUAUUGUGGCUGGUGUAGAUAGAUGUUUUAUGUGGUGGGAGGGAUAGUGGACCCACACAGUGGCUCAAACACAAGCAGUGCUAUUCACUUUUAUGGAGUAUUUUAGGUCACCCAGUUUUCAUUUUCUUUUCAGUAUCAGAUACUGUAAAUAAUUUCAGAGAUUCAUGAAAACAACAUUCUAUAACCCAUUUGGAGAUUGUGUUGUGAUAUUUUCUAGUUGGUUGCUGCUAUUUCUUUUUAAACCAUUGCAUUUACUGUCUAAAUACAAAUUGACCUACUUUUGGUACCAAACGGAUGGGGGACCUCCUGUGGGUGUACUGGCUGGUACUGUAGCCUGACUGUACUGUAGCGAGCAUCUGUUGUGUGCGUCAUUCAUGUCUGAGAUUGUUAAGUGUUGUGUUGUGUUGUCAUUUAACCUGUGAAUCAUGCUAACAUGACAUCGUCAGUCUGUAUGGGGCUAAAGAUGCAUUGAGGAUACUACUCUUACAUUUCUUUACCCACAAAGGUCUGAACUGAUCUGAGAUCUGACGUCAUCAGAUUGUUAACAAUGCAUGCAUUAUUACUCCAGGUGCCAGCAGCUGAUCUCAGUGUUCCACAUACAGUAGCUCUUGUUGGCCAUUUUAGCAGCUGCAUCCAGAACUCGUUGUUUUUUACGAAGAGAUAAACUCUCCAACUGCAAUUUGUAAAAUGUUGUCUUUUCUAUUUGUAAAAUUCAAAAAUGAUUCCUUUUGAAAACGAAAUGUACAACUUUUAUUAUAACGGUUAAUUGGAAAGAUGAUCAGUCAAAAAGAAUCUGAACUACAUUGUUUAGCAUAGGUUUGCCUAAACAUAUUUGAAUCUAUAUUUCUCAUUAUGAUCAACUGUAUCAGUGAAUCUAGUUGGAAACCAUAACACAGGCAGCAUAUUCACACACCACAAUAUCUCCCCCAAAGCAUGAAUUAGAAGGGAAUAGAGAAUCCAUCCAAUGUCAUUUAUCUACAUGCAGUUCCUGUUCGUGAUUUAAUGAAUGUAUGAAUGUACAGCAUCUUCACCACCACGACCACAGAGGAACAGGGAAGUAGGCCAUGCUAACCAUAUGCUCACACACUUGAGAUUCAAGAGAUGUUUUAUUCUCUUCAAUACAUCAGUCCGAUUAUAUAUUCUCUACUCCACUCUACCUGGUUUGAGAUAAGAAUAUGGAAUAUACAUAAUAUUUAUAUGGAAUAUACAUAAUAUUUAUAUGGAAUAUAAAUGUAGAUUAUGAAUGCUCCCUGGCGUUCAACCAUCUACUCCGUAAUCUGUGCCAGGCCGCGUGUGAGGUUUAGAAAUGCGAUGGGUACCGAUUAAAGAGCACCCCACAGUUUCUGCUCUGCUACUACACGGCUACCACCGAAAAAUGAAUACAGCCCCUUUUCAUUGAUGUCUACAUUUCCUUUCUGUUGAGGCUCUUCCAGUUUCACCAUCAGAAUCCUCUGGCCUUUGGCUUUCACGGUGCACAGUGCAACGCAGUUCCCACUGGGCAAACACUAGUUGAAUCAACGUUGUUCCACGUCGUUGAAAUUAAUUGGACGUCUGUGCCCAGUGGGUCUGCCUUUUCAUCUGUUCUCUGCUCUAGCCAACUCCUCCACCCUUUACAGACAGUUGUACUGUAACACAAGGGUGAAUGUCACUGAGCUAAUCCUGCUUUAUUCAAUUAGGAAGACUGGGAGGGAAGAGGAUGAAAAAAGGGUAUUCAAAAGCCACACUGGGAAAGGAAAAGUUGCUACAGAAUAUCAACACAGGAGUUGAUAACCAAGCAUAGCUAGCUGUGUACAGAAUGAAUGUAGCUCUUAGGAGGAUGGAGAAAAGGUAUGGGAAAUUGUGUUAAAAAAGCAGCAUCCAUGGAACCCUGGUAUUUUUUACUGUAUUGGGGUUCCUUUAAGCAUUAAGGCAUGAGGGGGGGGCGGUAUAUUGGCCAUAUACCACAGUUACCUUAUUGCUAUUCUAAACUGGUUAUCAACAUAAUUAGAGCAGUAAAAAUAAAUGUUUUGUCAUACCCGUAGUAUACGGUCUGGUAUACCACUGCUGUCAGCCAAUCAGCAUUCAGGGCUCUAACCACCCAGUUUAUAUCAGCAUAUAGCUCAUGGAAGUCUCACUGGUAUACUGUUCAUGGUGCUGCACAUGAUUACGACGACAGGGGAAUUGAUUACUUUGGAGUCAUUUGAGGCUAAAGCAGCUGUGCUGGAGGCUUCUUAUUCUGGAUUUAUCUCCUUGUGUACAUGUGUCCAUAACACAUUUGGGAAAAGAGAAAACACAUGAGAAAACCACUGUAGAUGAUCACUUGAGAACCAAUUGAUGACUUUUUAUGCUAUUUACUACUGUAUGAGAUACUGUUCCUAAUCUUUGAUGCUCCUAACUUGUUCUGGGUCACUUUGUGUACAUACAGUACACCCUUAAACACAGUAAGAAGGAUCACAGCUGCUUUAGAGAGUCAUUCUUGUAUAUAACCCGACAUGCCCUGUAUUACUUGUCCUAUCACUGAUCUAUUUAUGAUUAAAGUAUUUUCUAUUGUCUGUGCACUGCUGUAGUUCUUGAUUGUGGUUUUUGUGAAAUGGAUUUGUGU